ACGAGCUUGGCGCGCAUGGACGAAAAAUGUUGGCGUGCAGUUAGCGCAGUCUGAAUUCUUUCCGAUGCCGUACCACGCUGCUAGCAGUCGCCCACUGCUUAAACAAGAACCGGCACUUUCGUCGGGAUCUGCAGAGAGCAACCAAAAAUGCAUCCCACAGUACCGCCGUUAUGAACGCCCGUCUCCAGCCAGCCGCCGACACACACAAAAAACCAAUACAGUAUGCCGCGGUCGACGAAAUGGCGAGUGAACUUGCGACCGCCCCUCGUGUCACAGCCUGGUGGAAACGCAGCAACUGUUCCUGCAACUCCUACGGUUUCGACCGCGGAUUGCCACUCCCGUGAGGCAUGCAAUUUUUCCAAUGAGGACACCCUCGACCUACGUGCUGCAGCUACCCGUGCGACGAGCUGACGACCGUCAAACAACCUCCACGGCAGCGACAACCUUCCGAUUACAGUGAUCGGCGCUUUGUGCGCAGAUGAAUACUUUGCAAGAACUGAACGCCAAAAUCGCAAUGAAAAAUGAGAACGUCACGGCUACCAUCGCGUUCUUCGCCGAAAUAGUUUCACGGAAUGCUAUUCUGCGACACCUGAGGCUGCCUUCGACGGACUCCCAAUACUGCUCGUUAGCCACGAUCCCAGUGGCCCACCAGCCGCACACCGACGCCGCAAAAUGCAUGGAGCCGCGGCUCACCGCUCUGCGCAAGCCGAACUCGGCGCUCCUCCAUCUUUGCAUUCACUUGCGGUGCUUCGGGGAAGCUGAGUGCUGCGCUUUCUUCGGCGCUCUCGCAGACGACACCCGGAACUUGGUCAGUCUAUUCCAUGAUGCCCGUCGGCAGUGUUUCCAAAGUCCGCAGAACGAUCAGACAGAGCGGCCUGUUUGAUAGGGUUAUCCCCUUACAAAAAUUUUUAAUGUGUUUUUUUAGAAAGUCUUUUGAACUUUCUCUAUAGAACUCUAUUGUGUUUAUUUUGAUUGCCUAUAGAAUUUUCUUAUAGAGU